AUAGCCGAGUCAUGAAUAAAUGAAGCUUACUUUCAAAUAAUGCAGGCAACACCUUUUAGUGUUUCAACGGCUAAGAGGAAAAAGGUAAAUAUUGAAAAAAAAGUGGACAAAUAGCAUUACUGCGAACAAAUAAAGCGAUGUGUAAAUUGACAGGACGACUCUUUUCUCGUCAACAUGAAAACUGGAUCAAUAAAACGAGAUAUUCAUCUGUUUCUAUAGACUGAGAGCAGGUCAAACAUUUACCAUGAAAGGAACAAACAGUUUGAGCAGGAGGCGUCCUUUAAAUACAAGAUUUUUCGCUUUGCCCUCAGAUCCUCGGGAUUCAAAACUGGGAGAGGUACCCUGAUCCAGGUCCCUGCUUCUUGGCACGAUGGAGAUUCAUCCAAGACCUGCCUAUUCAUGCUGUUGAAUCUGCACAGGAAUGCUCCAUUGUCGUCAUUCCAGGGUCUAAAUAUUGUAUUGGAAAGUGUUCCUCAGACAGGAAACGAAACAUUCCAAAAAAAAAAAAAAAAAAAAAAAGACUCGCUCAGGGGUGUUCUGCGCUUCCUAGGAAUUAUGUCUGAGUGAUGAGUGGAGAGAGAGAAAGGGGGCAUGAAGACGAUCGACCUCACCAAUGGAAAAAAUCGUUUGAGGAUAUUCUAUUCAUUCCUCGUUGAUGCACUCCAUCUACCCUUGAUGGCUGCCCAUCAUAGCAGUCCUACUUGACCUUCGAAUCAAGAUAACCUAGUCCUUUCCCCACCACUUCGUUUGCAGGACAACAAUGCGAUCUGAAACUCGGAAGUAAAUCAAAAGCAUUGUUACCUGGAGAAAGGAAUUGACAAGCAAGGGAAAGACCUUCACACAAAUACUUCACAGAAACGGCAGAGUGAAAUGGUUGAUGAAGCGAAAUCACAAUGGAGGCUGGAUGCUACGGACAAUCGGUUCGGGCAGCCACUCCAUUGAUUCGGCUGACAGAUUUGGAAUACUUUGUUUCCUCAAAGGGCGACAGUUCAUUGAAUGCGCCCCAUACAGAGAGACGCACUUCAGCUGACUCAGUUGCGGCGGUUGAAUUUCACUCCCUUUUCAUCCUGUUUUAGAUGAUGAAAUAGUGCAAGUAAUCACUUCACAAGUUGAAUAAAGAAGAAUUCAAAUUCCGAAGGAGCCGAAAGGAUGCUGGGAUCUGGAAAAUACCAAGUGAAAAAGUCAAGAAUUUUGAUUGUACCACAAAGUGUUAUCCUCAAACUGCGUAAAGAUGGCAAAGUAUUCUCAAGCCAGUGACAUCUUCUUAUUAAAAGAUAAUGCUGACACUCGAUAUGUAUAGAUACUUCAAACCAAACAGAUUUUUCUACCAAUAGAAGUAAAUACAGUGUUGGAAAAUCCAGGCAAAAUAUUGUAACCGAGUAUCGGGAAGAUUAAUUUAUACGCAAGGCAUCCAAUUAUAACAUGUGACAAAUGUAUCUGGUCCUAAAGGUAGACUCCGAAUCAUCGCAACUUCAUCAUUUUCAAUGGUGAAUUAAAAAAACCAAACAAUCAGCGUAAUGAUUCUGGUCUUUUAAUGGUCAGAAAAAGACCAAGAACCUGUUAUCCCCAAUUACAGUAUGGCAACGAAUCAAUGACGAAGUGCUGAAGUAUAGGCGUUGCGAUGUACUAUGUAGAAAACAGAAUAUGCCUCCAUAUCCUUGAAGCUGCUUUGCUUAUAUGGUGAGUGAUGCAGAGAAGAAGUCCAGGAAACCUGCGUUUAUCUGUUUCAAAGUGUAAUAUGUAGCAAAGUGUAAUAAGUAGCAAAAUGCAAUAAACAGCAAAGUGCAAUAAAUAGCAAAGUGCAAAGUGUAAUAAAUAGCAACAUUAACUGGCGAUAUUGCUAAGCUUAUCUGUUCCAUGAUUUGCUUGUAAAUAAGGAUAUCAGGCAAAUUUAAUGGGCUUUGUAAUCAUUCAAUUCCUGCCAUGUGCAAGAUACUUCUUAACUUCUUUUAUUUACCCAUUAAUCGUCAAUUCAGAAUAUAUUACAGCUGUGCCUCAUCGGCAGCAUUAGCAAUGAUUCCGUGACUACCAAACAUAAUAACCUUCCUACUAAAUACUCAGAAGAACUUUGUGUAUCUAAUUUUCACUAAUAACUGAACAUCCAUUUUGGAAUUUUUAA